CGCGUCAUCUCGAAGCAGCUGAAUGUUGCAAUCGCAGAAGAUGGGGUUGCCCGCAAAGUAGAACGAGUACAGGACUCUGUGGGUGGUGGAUUUGGUGGUGGUUGUUGUUCUUUACCCCAAACAAGCGAAACGCAUACGGAUGUACCUCGUGUAUGUUGUUCCCAGCCAACGAUAUAAACCAACACAUUGGGAGUUGCUGAAAUUGAUUCUCUCCGAGUAUUCGAAGCUUCAAUGUUUGGAGUUCUUUCAACUUCCUGAACGAGCCGCUGGUUAAGGUUCGUAUGCGAUUGUGGUUUAGGUUGAGUGUUCGGAGCUUGUGAGGGAACUUUAUACCUGGGUAGGUAGGUUAAGAUCGACCAAGUUCUUCAAUAGUUUGAACCCUCGUUGUGGAAGAUGAAAGAUCUUGUUGUUUUUGAAACUUAAUCUUCGUAGCUUCCUGGGGUGAGAGGUUGGAUUAUUGAAGUUUUAUUGAGGUAGUGUUGGUUUAUAGGGGUAAUGAGCCAACUCUGGCCUGACUUCGUUGUUUUUUUAAUUUUUGGGGUUAACUCUGGCCUGAAUUCCUCUAAACUUCAUGUCCCAUGGGCCAUGGUGUGCCUCACUGUAGAACCUCACCCAUAUAGAAUAGAAUGUGCAAAUACAAUGUUGGGGUAAUGGGCCAACUCUGGCCUAAUCAAGCACCGAACCUCGUACCCUUUGGUUACAAUGCACUCACCUAACCCCUGAGCUUUUCAUUGGUCAAUCAAAAUAUUCAUUGUUUGUUUCUUACUUGAAUCGACUGUUGAUUAUGAUGUCACGGAUAAGAUUAUUAUCCACCAAUAAUGUUUCGAGUUUCGCAAGAUUUGAGAACUCGUCAAAGUUGAUCGUUGUCAUGGAGUUGUUGCUUAGCAACAAUCCCGUAACAUUGGCAACGACCCCGGGGGGGAAGGAGGUAAGGUUGGCAUGGAAACAACUCGCGGCAACUCCGGCACAAAAUAUUUUCCCUCGUCUCUGGGUGGCUGGGGGUGUUGGUAGUAAAAUACUUUCACACACGCAUGGUGAUGGACACGAUGUGAUUGGUUGGUUUGGUCGUCUUGCUGCUGAUGUAAGGUUAACAAUCAACGCAACAACCAACAACCAUGAAAGCUGGGUCAGAUUCAUACUCUGCUAACUUUUCAAGUGCCAUUGUGUGUGUGCAGUGGAGCAUGAAGUGUGCAGUCAAGCAUGCAAUGCAGCAACAAGUGGCUUGGGUGAAAUAUUUUGGUUGAUUGAUCGAUCAUUUCUGUCCGGUGCCACCCAGGGGUUACGGGUUCAAGGCUUGACAUUGCCAUAGUUAUUGGCGUAUUUUACUACAGGCAAAACACUUAACGCCAAUUGUUUCAACCCAGUAGUCAAUUUAAACUCAAACUUUUCCACAUAAGUUUAAACAUGGCGCGGUGUAUUACUAAUUGUCAUAUUCUAUAAAUUCAAUAUCUUUAUUGUUUUAUUUAAUUUGAUAUUAGUUUUCGUAAUAAAAAUGAUUAAUAAAAAAUCA